rnacentral:rRNA from 1 species
GAUGAACGCUGGCGGCGUGCCUAAUACAUGCAAGUCGAGCGAACGGACGAGAAGCUUGCUUCUCUGACGUUAGCGGCGGACGGGUGAGUAACACGUGGAUAACCUACCUAUAAGACUGGGAUAACUUCGGGAAACCGUAGCUAAUACCGGAUAAUAUUUUGAACCGCAUGGUUCAAUAGUGAAAGACGGUUUUGCUGUCACUUAUAGAUGGAUCCGCGCCGCAUUAGCUAGUUGGUAAGGUAACGGCUUACCAAGGCAACGAUGCGUAGCCGACCUGAGAGGGUGAUCGGCCACACUGGAACUGAGACACGGUCCAGACUCCUACGGGAGGCAGCAGUAGGGAAUCUUCCGCAAUGGGCGAAAGCCUGACGGAGCAACGCCGCGUGAGUGAUGAAGGUCUUCGGAUCGUAAAACUCUGUUAUUAGGGAAGAACAAAUGUGUAAGUAACUAUGCACAUCUUGACGGUACCUAAUCAGAAAGCCACGGCUAACUACGUG